UACGUAGGUGGCAAGCGUUGUUCGGAAUUAUUGGGCGUAAAGGGCGCGUAGGCGGUCAGGUAAGUGAGAUGUGAAAUGCCCCGGCUCACCCGGGGACCGGCAUCUCAUACUGCUUGGCUUGAGUACGGGAGAGGAUGUGGGAAUUCCUGGUGUAGCGGUGAAAUGCGUAGAUAUCAGGAGGAACACCGGUGGCGAAGGCGGUUCUCUGGGCAUGUCCUGACGCUGAGGAGCGAAAGUGUGGGGAGCGAACAGG
rnacentral:rRNA from 1 species